UCUACCCUGGCCUCCUAAACUUUGCCCAGGCGAGAAGAGUUAUGUGCGAGGCCCGUUCCCCGGAGCGCAGGAGAGCUAACGAGAAACUGACCUUGCGCAAAAACCACGCGGCCCGGGCCUGAACAUAGGUCUGCGCUGUUAAACUAAAACCAUUUUCAACUUCAUCCUGGUUCCUUUAUCCACUAGAUUAGCCUCAUUCCCUACACAGAUGCCACUCAGAGAGUGCCUUCCUCUCUCUGCUUUGGGAGUGCAUUUUGGUCUUUAUUCUUUUCAUCAUUAAUGCUAUACAGUGCUUUCUCGGUUCUAACUGGGGGCUCUUUUUCCAUCCAGAGCUUUUUUUUUUUUUAACAGCAAAACCUCUGGAUCCUGCUAUGUGUUUACUUCCAGAAUCCUAACAAACUUGGAGUUUUCCACCGACCAGCACAAACCAGGAUAUUGCUACCGUGUAAUUUAUUCAAGUUCAUUUUUGCCAAUUCAUUAAGUACAGAUUUGCUACAAAGGUCAAGACAACUUUUUGAGUUCCUCCAAACGGAAACUCGUUUUGGGACACCCAAAGGGAAGGAAAGCCAAGGACGUCUGUCCCAGGGAGACGUUCCAAGCGGGCCUCUGCCCCUUCGCCACUCCUCUCUCCACCCUCUCUCAAACCUCUGGCUUUAGGAGGUCUCCAGCCUACUUCCUGCCCGCUCCCGUUUAAGGGUUCGAGCCAGACGUUGGGUCAUUCCCACCGGUAUCAAGAGAAUGGGGACUCGACUGGGAUGGGACACAGAGUCGGGGCCUCCAGGAGGUCGACCCUGUCAACUCAGAGAACGUUUUCAGUCUUCAGUGAGGACAGCGUGUUUUGGGGACAUGAGAGGGUAGUGUCAAUAAUAGGAUGUCAUGGCCCUUUUUGAAAAUCGCAUGUCAUUAUAAACAUUUUUUUUCUUUUUAAAAGCAAAUAAAACCUAUUAAAAAGUUAAGGAGAAAAAAAAUCUUUUCUUUUUUCUUUUCUUUUUAUUAAAAGGAAGCUGUGGCUAGGAGUUUGCAUAUUCCAUAAGUUAAAUUUACUUAUAUUCAGUAAGGGGACUCUGGCAACCUUCCUUCAGUGGUACUAGAUAGCUUUGCCCACUCGUGUGACAUUUUUGAUCUACCCAAUUCCCUAAAAGCCAAUAACAUCAAGAUUUUCAGCAUUUUUUCCUAUCACGUGUCUCUUAAUUAAUGGCAUUAAACAUGUUUGGGCAGCAAUUUUCUUCUAAAGUUCAAAAGGCAGAAAACACACUGUUGGCUGUGUGGAGAAGAGCCUUUCCCAGCACUAAAAUAAUCCAAGCCUGAAUGUAAGGGUUAAGAAAAAUUGUUUAUUAUUUCUAGCUCUUUAUUUACUUGCUAAUUAUUCAAAGCAAACACCCAGGCCCACCUGCCCAGGAUGUGACUGCAGCAAACAGGACUCCCCGGCUCUCCCCCACUUCUUGCCCACCUAGGAAGCCCACACCCCACCUCAGGCUUCUCGGUUAAGAGGUCCUAAACUCCCGUGGAAACCACCUGUCCUCAAAACCAUUCCCGGGGCAAGAAACGGGUAUAUGCGGGUGAGAAGAGGAGGAGACAUCUCUCGGCUCCUAAAGCAGGAGAAAUGUCAGCUUCGCUGGGCGGCGGCCAGCCCGCGCUGUGCGAAGCCGCAUUG